GCUUCUAUUGUAUUGUAUAGAUUUUGUGUUGAAGGGUGAAAGUUAAUUGUUUGAUUUUAAGUACUCUAAAUCAAAGGUUAACUAUUUUGGGGUUAGCUUUUGCUUCUCUCAAUAUGGAUUUUUUUAACUCUUUCUUGCAACUUCUCUCUUUUGUUUUUCUUUCAGUUUCUCAUCUCAUUCGAGUGACGUGGUAUUAUUUGUCUAAUAUUUGAUUGUAGACAAGUGGAAGGUGAAAUAUCGUGAGUGAGUCAUAUUUUUCUCUCUAUUUUUUUUUAUAGUUUUCAACUUUGAUGUCUCCACUUAAUCCAUAUGUUUUUGUGAAAAAAUCGUUCUGUUAGAUAUUUGAUGUCUAGCUUAUAUUUAUUCACAGUUGUCGUCAAUCUUCCUUGUCUAUUUUUUGUGACUUUAUUGCUUAUAUCGGGAUUUUCUUGUGUUUGGUUAAGAAACUUUUGAAUUGGAUACAUUCGACGACUGUAGUACUUGGAUGAUUGGUCUCUUCAGAAGUCCUUAUCUUUUGUAAGGGUUGAAUUUGUUUUGUUUAAUGAUUCUGGUUCUUUUUCAGGUUUUGUUUUUAUUGGUGGUGUCUUUUUUGAGUUUUUAUUAAGAUUGAAUGUGAAGUUGUUUACUCAUUUUUUUUAUACUUGGCUUCCCAUUAUCUUGUUUUGGUCUGAUAUUUUUAUUCUUUUGGUUGUAAUUUUGGCCACUCAAGCUACUGCAAAUCUGAAGGGUCCAAAAGGAAUGAGAAUUGUGAUCCUCAGGUCAAUUGUUUAUGUAUACCUGAAGUACAUAAUUUUGUACUAAUCAUUGCCUAAUUUUUAACCUUCUAAGUUGUAAUCAAAGGAAGAAGGUGUCCAAUUUUGUAAUUUUUUACCAACUGCCCACUGUAUUUUAAUCAUGGUUUUUAUGGUUAAUCAAAUGAACCUAGUGGAGUAGUUGCUCGAAGCAGAGGCCAUUGCUUCAUAGUUAACCUGAGGAGGGCUAUUUCUUACACUUUUGAAAACCAUUCCAUUUGAAUGGUUUUCGAAAUACUGUAAGAAGCAAGCUGCUGAGAGUUAUUAUAAAAGCUGCAAUUGAGAUUAAAUUUGAAGUAUAAUUUAGGAUAGAAUGUAACUUAACUACCCAUGUUCUAUUUCACAAACUAAUGGAUAGAUGUGGAGAGAAUAAAUUCUAAUUCAAUCUUUACCAUAUAUAAAUCCAAAGUUCUUAUUGAAGAUACUUCUAUAAUGUCAUGGCCUCAUGGCGCAAAAAGAAAAUGAAAAAAAAAUAAAAAUUGAACGAAUGCAGCAUCUGUGGUAAUAUUAUGUUUUUAACUAUUUGGCCAAUGGAUUGUUGUCUGACUUAUUUGUUGCUUAUAAUGCUUAUACAAACAACAUCUAAGGUUGAACUCCUUGUUAUAUUGUUUGAUUAAAAGAAUGAUGCAAUUGUGCUAAUAUUAUGUAUUUUUAAUGAAGAUGCCAUAACCAGUGGAUUGUUGUAUGCUAGUUUUGAUAUUUUUGUAUUAUAUUUAUGUGACAAUGGCCAUUUGGAUUUUGUUAAAUCCAUACUAGUUGCAGCCAGUCUUUGUUGAACGAAACAUGGUGGACUGUCACAGUGAUGGAUACCCAGAUCUCGUAACAAAUGAUGCUAAUAUGGGAUGUAUGACCCCAACAUUGUACAUUGGGAAACUUUUAGAAUUUUUGAACAAGCUUUUCAUGAAUAUAGUGAAGCAGGGGUUCUCUAUUAGGAAGCAAAAGUGUGAAAAAAGAGAAACUAAGGAUUAUGAAAUAUGUCGACGAGACUUUGUUUGCCAUCGAUCGGGCAAUGGGAGUAAAAAAUGUGUAGUUAUUGAAAACAAUGAAGAAUCAGGUGAUGGUUUUAAGAAAAGACAAAGACAAUACCGGUCUUGUCAUUGUAAUUGCAAAGCACACAUGAGUGUUGGCUUGUCUAGGAAUGGGGAUGUGAUGUUGUGGGAAGUUCUUAAUGUUGCAGAUGACCACAACCACGAAUUAUUGGAUCAAAACGAGGUCCGUCAUUUGAGAGCAUAUCGGCAUAUUUCUGGCCACUAUAGGUAGCGUAUCUUGACACUUGAAAAAUCUAGGAUAUUGAUUCCCCAAAUACUUAGGAUAUUGGAAACAGAGCAACAAGUUGGGGUUAACUGUCUUCCAUUCAACAUGAAGGAUAUAUACAACUUCCUUAACUCACAAAAAUUAUUUAUGAGGGAAAAUGAUGCGGCCAAUCUUGUCCUCAAAUGCAAACAUUUGAAAUCCUUAGAUUUGGAGUUCCAAAAUGAGUAUCAAAUUGACGAUAACCAUUUGGAGUACAUUACUUGGUGUCACAGCAAUUUUGUUCAUGGUUAUCAGCUCUAUGGUGAUGUUGUUGUUUUUUACACAACUUACAAGUUAAAUGCGUAUAACAUACCUGUAGGUGUAUGGGUUGGUGUGAAUAGCCAUGGUUGUUUUGUCUUUCUUAGGUGUUGUUUACUAAGGGAUGAGAGACAAACGCCCUUUGAGUGGACAUUCAAGGUGUUCUUGAAGUUAAUGGGUGGCAAGGCCCCCAAAACUAUUAUUACUGAUGAUGAUCCCUAAAAUGGUGCUGCCAUUGAGAACAUUUGUCUAGCCACGAAACAUGCAUUAUGCAUGUGGCAUAUUGCAAAAAAAAAAUCCCCGAAGUGUUGUCUACUGUUUUGAAAGCUCGAUCUAAGGAAUGGAACAAGAUCUUUCAAGAACUAAGCAAGAUAGAGAUAGCUGAAGACUUUGACAAGGGUUGGCAAUCAAUGUUGGAAGAGUAUGAAUUAGUAGCCAAUGUACAUUUAAUUAAGGAGACUAUUUUGUAGCCGUACUAAGUGGCAAAAAACAUAUCUCAAGUCUUAUUUCUUUGCUGGGAUGAGUACUACUGGCAGAUCCGAGUUGAUGAAUGCAUUCAUAAAGCAGACAAUUUCAUCACAAAAUCUUCUAACAAAUUUCAUUGAUCAGGUA